GCCAGAUUGCCCGAGCGGCCAAAGGGAGCGGAUUGUAAAUCCGUCGGCAUUGCUACGUUGGUUCGAAUCCAUCAUCUGGCACCA
rnacentral:tRNA from 1 species